UCUCAAAAAAAAAAAAAAAAGAUUUCUCUAAGCAAGGGUAACAAGAAAUUAUGCCCCUCCGCCAAUUUACGAAACACGAGAAAGCACCAGUAAGAUGCUUAAAGUUUUCAUAAAUGUCUCAUUUACCCAAUAUUAUAUAUACUGAAGUGUUCAUGUCAAUUCCUUUGCCAGUGGUUUUUACUUAAUUUUUUAAAAAUUACCAUACGAUAAAAUUAACACGUUUACUUUGGAUGAAUCAUUUUGAUUUUAAUGUAUGGUAGCAUCACCACCAUCAGAAUACAGAACAGUUCCAUCACUCCACAAAGCUCUCUCCUGCUGUCCCCUUAAUGUGUACAUCCUUCCUCUCCUCCACUCUCAGCACCACUGAAUUGGUCCCCAUCACUAUAGUUUUAUAAUCAUCCCUUUUGAACCUGGCUUCUUUCACUCAGUAUAAAACCUUAAUUAAAGAUUCAUGCAAGUUGUUACCUACACCUUCCUUACUAUUGCUAAGCAGCAUUCUAUAGUAUGGCUAUACAGUAGUUUAACCAUUCACUUAUUAAAAGAUAUUUUGUUUCCACAUUUUGGCUAUUAUGAUUUAAGCUGCUAUGGACAUUUGAGUACGAGUUUCUGCGCAAACAAAAGUCUUCAUUAGGAAAAUACCCAGGAGUGGAAUUGCUGGAUGGUAUGAUAAAUGUAUGCUUAACUUUAUAAGAAACUGUCACUGUUUUCUGGGGUGGCGGUGCCAUUCUGCAUUCCCACAAGCAAUGUGUAAGGAUCCAGUUGCUCAGCAUUCUUGCUAGCACUUGGUAUUGCUCAAAUUUUUUUCUCUUUCAGCCAUUCUAAUAGGCCUGUAGUGAUACCUCAUCAUGGUUUUAAACCUUUUAACCAUUUUAUGGGUAUAUUUUAUUAAAUGGUAUACGCUGUUUCGAUCCCUUAAACAGAGAAUGCUGAAUAUUAAUUUUUAUGACUCAAAAUCAUCCUUAUAGAAUACACAUUGUACUACCCUCAGGGACUACUGAAGUACAUAGGGUUGUUUUCCUUUUCUUAAAAUAGCCCCAGAAUUAUGUUUGCUUUUUAUAGCUUUUUAAAUCUUCACUCUUGUUGUCACUUCUUGCUAUUAAUGGUGCUCCUGCCUCUGGCAGACUCUCCUCUUCACCCUCUUCUCAAGCUGAGUUUAGAAAAUAGAUAACCAAGCUUGUUAGAAUUACAUCUAAAAAGAGACCAGUCCGUGAGUGAGAGAGCUUAAAAGGAUUUUUCAGUGAGGAAAGUAAAGGCACCCCCCAACGCCCGCCAACCCCCACAACAUUGUACCCGAACUUCCUGACAUCUUGCUUGGUUGCUGAGAAAUUUCUAGUAGCUAAAUCUCUCAGGCACUUUUCAAAAAAGUAAGGUUGCCAGCUAAGAGACCACCAAGUAAUCGAGUCAUUACAAUAUUCAUUUUGUGCAAUUUACACUAUAAUAUGAUCCUAGCUCAAUAAUUAAAAGCUUAGCAAAAGCAAAAUAUAGACAAAAUUAUCCCGUGUCCAGAAACCUAAGUGAAAAAGACGAUCUUAAAUGGAGCUUAAAUCUAGUUUCCAAACCCUUACACAUUGGUCUGAAUUCUAAGCACCUACUAGGUGUGCGAGGCAUUCAAAGGGGUGCAAAGAUAAAGAAACUGUAGAAUUAAAAAGAACUCAACAGUUCUUUAAAGAUACAGUGACCAUAUGCAUACACACUGAUUCUAAUCCUAAGUAAUAUUCACAGUGUUCCCUUGAAACUCGCCUGACUAGUUAAGUAGAUAGCUGUGCGGUUACCAAAGGCAAGUAAGUGCAGCCCAUCCUGUCUUUUAAGUAGUCUUUUCCAUCUCUGAACAAGACCAAACUUUGAACACUUUUACGCUCUAUUAGGAAGAUGGAUCGCUUCAGACAAAUGGCAGCACCUUACUUCCCUGAGCGCCCCAGGCUCCGAUUCAGAAAUUACUAGGCAGGCACUUCCUCUCACCCGAACUUCCCUGAGGAAUGGCAACUGUGUGUCUGCCAGGCGCAGGGGCCAAUCGGGACUCUGCCGGCCGCCUCCACCCACGACUUAAACACCAUCUCACCAAUUGCAACCGGAUCGUGGGUGGGACUUCCGCUAUCAUUUUAGGCUUAACUACCACCAUCUCGUCGCGGGCACCGGGGGCAACCGCGAAGACAGAAUUUCACAAACUUUCAGCUCCAGCAGUUUCAAGGAAAUGUCAAAGAAUGACAAGAUGGAAGGCAGAGUGGCGAGAGCUAAGACACCAAAAAGGCCCCCAAAAUUUGUUUUCAAGAAAACCAAUGAAAAAAGCAAGCAAUCAGAACGUGAAGUCCAGGAUCAUGUCUGUGCUUAUCUCCACAGUCACUGCUGGGUCCUGAAGUUCUCCUCUGGCCCAGUGCCAGCUGCGGAACCCUCUGCCAAAGGGCCAGAGGAGGCCGGUGAUGUAGAGCUCUGAUUACCCACCCGUCAGGGCGCCGCUGAAGGUCACCGAAUACUUACUGUGCACCCGAAAAAUAAAUCCUGCGAGUUCACGCCCCGCGUAGCUCGCCCCCUGACUUUGAAGGACUCCUUUCGCAUGGGAUCUACAAAACCGAACUGCCUUAAAGACCUCUUUCACACCGACGUGAAGUCACAGAACUGACAAACCCCAUCCUGUCAAAGUGCACGGUUCUUUGAAAUCUAACACAAAAAGUCAUAGAAAGAUUCUCUAAACACCCUGUACUAAGAGGAACACGGACAGGGCACUGCGUUCUGAAGUAGAGGCCAGGGCACUGGCCCUUAGACACGUCUCGCUGUCACCGGGCUAACAGCAUUGGCAAGGGCGGCGGCGGCAGCAGUGAUAUCUGCAGCCCCCGAGGGCCCUGGCGAAACCCCCUCUAUUACUCUGUAUCCUGCUUGCUUCCAAGAUGAACCUGUUGCUGGGAAAGAACAGGCUAAAUUAGAAAAGGGAGUCAUAUUUUGUCAAAGUUGAAGAAACCUCUGUAGAGGAGCAGGAUGCAACCGACAGGCUGUGGCCGGACAGCCGCUACCCAGCACAUGGAGCCUGCACGCGCACGAUUUGGUCGAAGCAGCCCCCAUACUCCCGGUGAAAAAGAUUUCCAGAAGCUGUUCUGUCAAUAACAAAGUCUCGAGGAAAACCACAAAACCACCAACACUAAGAUCAUUCUUGAGUCCACUUUGAAAAACUAGGGUCAAAUUCUGCAGAGGCAUUCAAGGGACAGGAUACCACCCUAAUGCCCACUGUGUGAAGGAAAAUGCUCUAUUCACUAUUCCUCAGCUUCUGCUUCUGGUUUCAGAGUUCUCUCUAUAUUGGAGGGUGUUUUAAAGCUAGAGUGGUCUUUAUCCACUUCUAUUAACACAUCUGAAUGUGAAGGUCAAGAGGAGAAAGUGACAUGUCCUAAGUCAGAGUAGUGUGAAUAAGAAAAUAAGGCAAACAGCGACUGAGUCCCUGGUGUAUACUGGGCAUUGGCAAGCUACUGGGGAUAUGGAGAUGAAGAAAAUGUAAUCCCUUCUUCAAGGAGCCCAAUCUACCAAGGUAGACAGACAUAUAGACAAAUAGAUUAUAUACUUGCAUAGAAAAAAGAAAGAGGAGAAGGGGAUCAGUGUGAUCUGUGUAACUAAGUACCCUGUACAACCCUCUUGGCCACAGAUCAUAUUGCCCUUUAUAGCGGGGAUGGUAAUCCCAUCUCCGAAUUCCACAUGUACUUUGCAGGCAGACCACACCCAUGUGUGGGUCCUGACUCUACCAUUUAUAAACAGCAUCACUUUCAGCAAUUGUCAGCCCUCCAAGCUAGGGUCAUUGUCAAUAGGGAUACUGCCUCCCAAGCAUCAGAACACCAAAGGAGACCGUGUGGGUAAAAGCAACCAACACUGCCCUGGCGGUUCAUAGGUGCUUAGAGUUUCCAGCUUUCACUUUCAGUCUAAUGCAGCACUGCCUGCUUUUUGUUUUUGUUGCUUAGUUUGUUUUUUUCUUACCGUGUUCACCACACUUGUGUCCAGAUAGCUUUGGGCUGAUGCAAAAGUAUCUGUGGUGGAAGAGAGAAGGAAGAGUUGUUCUCAUGGAGGGCCUUCAGAUGAGUGCUAUAGACUCUAGGCAACUUUCAAAGAGGCUUCUCAAGCAGGGUGGGCAGUGGGAGCUGCUAUGGAAUCAAUGGACAAACAUUGACAGGGACUGCUUUGAAAGACAGUACUCAGUUGAGUAUACUCUGUUAAGGGCUAAAACUUUAGAGUCAGCCCUUAAACACUGCCUGAUGGAAUCUUCAGGAUCAUAUUUUGAAGUAAACUAUAUUUUACAAUGUGAUAUAAAUCAAA